rnacentral:lncRNA from 1 species
CAGUCUGCAUGCCAGGGAUCCUUGGAGUCAGAAUGCAGUAAUAAGUUGUUUCCAAAGGGGAAAUCCACUCAUUUGACAGAAGAACAAAGCAUGCAUUGUUCAAGUAUAAGAGGCCUGGGCUGCAGGGAACCUGUCCUGACAAGGGGAUAAUCAUCUUAGCUCUGAGAGAAUGAACAUCACACCUUUUGUUCCAGUCAGAUAUGCACAAGCAUUCCAGGUAUAUUAAACCCGUGACAUCUAAUAUGGUUGGAUGUUAUUAUUGUGGUGAAUUUCCCCAAUUAUUGCCAAAAUCUGUUCAUUGUGCCUAAGGUCAGAGUGGAUCAUAUACUUGUUCCAUGAAGCCUUCAUCUGGUGUUUUAAAAGAUAUGCUUCUUUUUAAAAAGUGUCCGAAAUGGAUAAAGAAAUGGUGUUCUGAUUGAAACUGAAUUUGAUUAAAUUAAGAUGAAUCUCUGUGUAGCUCCGCAACCCCCUCAGAUGGCCGGAAUCUUAUUCCCUCUUGACCUUACUUGUGUGUCUCAGCUUCCUUGGACUUGGGGUAGAAGCUG